ensembl:lncRNA
CAGCAACAUCUGGUAUGAAUGGGUGUGAAUGAAUGCAUGUGACUGGACUGUGAUGGACUGACUUGAUACUGAGACAAAGACUGCACCAACUUUAGGAUUAGUAAAUGCCAACAAACAAUUCACCUAGCCGGCAAGAGAAGGGUGGAUGCUUCGCUUUGUUUUGUUUUGUUUUUGCAGGAGCAGGAGGAUAAGAGAGAGCAGAGGAGGAGACGGUAGCUUCACAUGAGAGUGUGGAACUGCAGACUUAACCCUUUGGUUGCUGAUUUUGAGUUCUGAGAUAUGAUAUCACUAACCUUCUCUUUUAAUUUUCUAGCUCCGAUGGAUUGACACAUGGGAGUGUGUCAAAAAGGGGGGAGUUGAGUCUGAACAUCAAACAAUGGUUUUAUGAACAGUUUAUGACUUUAUUUGUGUGUUUAAUAAUUUAGGUAUGGUAAGCUUAUAAUGUGUUAGAAUAAAAAAAAAAAAAAAAAAAGGUUAAUUUGUUUUUGUUUUUGAUUUCUUGAUUAAACUAAGUGGUUAUAAUCACUUUCAUAAACACAUUGCAAAUGUGCUCAUAAUGAGUUGACACUCAGUCUUUUGAAGGUCAUAAGCUUCGUUCGGCGUGACUGUCCGGACUGAUAAAUUGUAGGUAUUGACUUUGAGUGCAGAGGGGUAAAUGCAAACACGCUUACACACACAUAGAUUAUGAUUAGAAUAAGUUCCUUGGUCAGAGAGUCCUGAACAUGAUAUUUUAAACCAAAUUUGCAGCACCGGAAGGACAAUGGAUAACAAUAAUAGAUUAUCAAGGCUAGGGAGAGAGGUGUUUUGGUUUUCUGUCUCUUGCAGAGAAAGGAACAGACACCAGACGAGGUACGGAGAUAUGAGGACCCUUCACAGCAGAGACAGAUGUAGGGACUGCCGAGACAGCAACUGGGGUCAAGUGUCAUGGCGUUAGGGCUCCUUGAGAGGAUGGAUCCCAUAAACACAGCAAUAACCAUGAAGGGGUUGGCGAAAAUCUAGGAACACCAGACCAACGAGGGUGGUCUAACCCCGGAGGUCGAAGAAAGAAGCUGAGAAUCACCCAACUGGAAGAUACUGGUAGCUGCAGCAAUAAAAAUAAAGGUUAAAAGCUCCUUAGACAGAGGUUCUAGUCUGAGUACAUUUGAAAGGUAUAAGGUGGCAUCAAAAUGGGGGUGGAAAACUGGAGCACCAAAAUAAAGCUG